rnacentral:rRNA from 1 species
GAUGAACGCUGGCGGCGUGCUUAACACAUGCAAGUCGAACGAUGAAGCCCAGCUUGCUGGGUGGAUUAGUGGCGAACGGGUGAGUAACACGUGAGUAACCUGCCCUUAACUCUGGGAUAAGCCUGGGAAACUGGGUCUAAUACCGGAUAGGAGCGUCCACCGCAUGGUGGGUGUUGGAAAGAUUUAUCGGUUUUGGAUGGACUCGCGGCCUAUCAGCUUGUUGGUGAGGUAAUGGCUCACCAAGGCGACGACGGGUAGCCGGCCUGAGAGGGUGACCGGCCACAAUGGGACUGCGAGACGGCCCAGACUCCUACGGGAGGCAGCAGUGGGGAAUAUUGCACAAUGGGCGCAAGCCUGAUGCAGCGACGCCGCGUGAGGGAUGACGGCCUUCGGGUUGUAAACCUCUUUCAGUAGGGAAGAAGCGAAAGUGACGGUACCUGCAGAAGAAGCACCGGCUAACUACGUG